rnacentral:lncRNA from 1 species
ACGCCUCACCGCGAAGUAGCCCAGCCCCAGGACUGUGACCAGAGAGGGCAAGGGUCUUGCUGGACGGAAAUAGGCGGUAGCCGCAUUGCUGGCCUCCGACUUCACCAUCCUCUUGAAAAACCCAGACACAGAGUUGGCUGGGAGCUCCCCAGCCGUCCCCGCCCCCAUAUAAGAAAAGCCUGGCUAGCCGGUUUCUCAGGGCCCUGGGCGCCCGCCCAAGACCCUGGCGGACCAGUAUGCUUGCUCUCAUUGCGGAGUCUGGUCCCCUCCCCUCCGCUCCUAGCGCGCGGGAGUCGGGAUUGUGCUUGCACGACUUCCCCCGGCCCGCGGCCUGUGAGCCCAGGUCCUGGGGUGAACCGAGCGCUCGCUCGUUCGUCAGACCGUAGCGCUCCAGCGGCUGUCCUUACUGUGUAGUAGCCAAAGCUGAGGGUGAUGACUGUGAACCAGAACAGACUGCCUCGCUGAAAAGUCACUUGGAACUCUUCUGUGGCAUCUGAAGCAGAUGGACGAAGCCAAGAGGGCCGAGAGUAUCUCAGCACCUAGAAAUGGACAAGGCUGGUUAUUAGAACAAAGAUUUCGCAGGUGGAUCUCCCAUUAACCAGUCAUAAUGAAGUAAGAACAAGAAGAUGGGGAAGAGGAAGUGUAAAACCGUGGCUUAAAUUUGCCAAGGAUAAGCUGAGUGUACUUCAGCAGUCAUUUGCACAGAAUCCUUAUCCUAAUUUUACAACCAGGGAAAAACUGGCUGGACAGUCUCUUGUCCUGUGUUUGUAAUUGAUAACUGGUUUCAAAAUAAAAGCCAGACCACCACUUAGAGAGAGACACAGAAUGUUCACUGCCAGGGAACUGCAUGAUUCCUCUGCCAAAGGCCACCCAUUUACAAGAAUCCAGGAAAACCAGGUGGAAUCUCCCAAUGAUGACCCUGAGCAGAACUUCUUGUACCCAGGAAGUUCUACUGGGUGGAGCUGGCCACUCUUCCGUGGAGACACAGGGGACUCCCAAUUAACAUGAUGGCUCAAAUAACUGUAGCCUUAUGGAUUAAAAGGAAACUAAGCUGUGAUUUGGAGUAUCCAGGUGAUACAGAAAAUGGCCCUUGUCGAUGUAGAUCAGCAUUAUUUCCUUAUCCUUCUGCAUCUCCUCCUCAGUAUUCUGAAAGGGACAAGCCUGAGAUGGGGGAAAGCCAGCAUGCAAGGCCCUCCCCUUUGUGCUGUGUUCAUGGUGUGCACGGAGAGAGGCAGCAGCAGGAGGAACAGAAAGGUUAUUUUCUUUACUGACUCUUUCAAGGACAUCAGCAGAAUGGUUGGGAAUGUCAUCAUGAGCAGCCUCAGCCUCAGAAUUACCAGGAGAAGCUGGUCUUCCAGGAUCAGGUUCUAAUGUAUAUGAGUCACAGGAUUUAGGGAAGCAGGCACUUUCCCUUCAGUCCCAGCAGCAUGGUUGAUGUUCCCAAGUAAUGGAGAGUCCCUGUGCUCUCAGUUGUGGCACACACCUUUGCAAAUAGUGAUCAGAUCUCCACAAACGCCUCUUGGGUAAGAUAUGCAGCAACAUAGCUGGCUGCAGAGCAACCCAGUUCCCAAAUCCAGCAGCUCUUGGAUGAGAAGUCUGCAAGUGUUUACUGCUGGGACCAGGACUGUGUUUCUAGGAAAUGGUGCUAGGCUUCAGAGAGCAUCAUCCACAGGUCAUCCCACAACCAUCCACACAGAAGCCUGAGGAAAAGGGCUCUGCAGAGCUUGCACAUAAAGAUGCUGAACUCAGGAAGGCUCUGUGAGCUGCUGGUCUCUUCUGGUAGGGCAGCAGUGUCCUGAGAAGGUGGAGCUAGAGUAUGGAGAACAAAACUAACAAGCACCAAGGCAGCAAGCAAGGCAACCCCCAAAUGACAGCAGUUGCCAAAUCCAAAGCAAUCUGUGCUUCAGAAGACAGAGGCUCUGCACAGUCCCUGUCUCAGACAUUGUCUCCUCCUUAGAAGAUACCUAACAACAGCACUGUGGGAGGCUGAGGUGGGUGGAUCACCAGGUCAGGAGAUCAAGACCAUCCUUGAUCUUUAGUAGAGACGGUGAAACACUGUCUCUACUAAAAAAUACAAAAAAAAAUUAGCUAGCCGUGGCGGCGGGCACCUGUAGUCUCAACUAUUUGGGAGGCUGAGGCAGGAGAAUGGCCUGAACCCGGGAGGCAGAGCUUGCAGUGAGCUGAGAUUGCGCCACUGCACUCCAGCCUGGGCAACAGAGUGAGACUCCAUCUCAAAAAAAAAAAAAAAAAAAAAAAAAAAAGAUACCUAACAAGCAGUACAAGAAUAUGAAGGACCCCACUGCCCAGACUUUGUAUGGAGGGGUGUCUAAGGUGGCUACAGCAAAGCUGUCAUCUCCAUCGACCGGGACAGCAUCUCCAGCCAUGAUGUGUGGCCUGCUGGAACAGCAGCCAUGUGUCCUUUCACAGACAGCCCACCAAAGCUCUGACUGUGAAGGACAUCCCAACAUCAGCCUAGCCUGCAUACACUUAAGGCAUAGAAUCACCUGAGGCUUCUCCGUUGAAGACAGGGACUCCCGAUGGAGUUGCAGCCCCAGCUUUGCACUGUAAAGAGCCCCAGGGGGCUUCUGUGCUAGAGCAGGUGUGCAGACCCCUCCUCACCCCCUUCACUGAGAGCUGCUGCCUGGAACCAGUGUUUUGACUGAGUCACCUCUGGACGUGGGCCCACAAGAUCUGAGAGUGCCCAGACGAGAAGUUGAAUGCCUUGUGUUGACCUGAGUGUUUGGAAAAAAGCCCCAAACUUUGAAACAAUUUUCAUAAUUUUGAGCUUCAGGAUGUGGAAUCACUUCUCAAGUAUUCUGGAGUUCUGUCCAUCAGAGCGGGUCCUGCCAAUGCUGCCCUGUGCAGCGCUUCAGGCUGCAUCCCUCCCACUAGGGGGCGCCUUUCACAUAGUGGCGCCUGCCUUCUAGAGGAGCAACAUUUCCUGAACUGCAGGGUUCCCUCGGGGCUUUGUGUAAAACACAUCCACUGCAUAGAAUUUGUGUUAUUUCCAUUUUGUUUUCUUGACAAUAUUUAAUUAAUUACAAAAUGAUGUAUGUUAUGAUAGUUUAAGCAAUACAGAGAGUAACCAAACAAAAGCUUGGUCUUUUAUUCUCGCACUCUGAAUUUACAGUCCUGAAAACUCUAAACUCAUCAUAUAAUCUAUAUUGUAAAGACUUUGAUAAUCCCUUCCCUUGCCUUUCCUUUCCCCAUUCCCCCUUCCCCUUCCUUCUUCUACAUUGUAUGAUGUUUUUCAUAUUUACAUUCUAACCAAUUGUGUCAUGUGAUACUAAUUUGCAGAAUAAAGCAUGUUUUGCACAUAUUUCCAAGUCAUAUAACAUGCAGACAUACUUCAUUUUGUAAAUAUCUUCCUUCUCUUACUAUAAGAUUGAGAAUAGGUAAAGAGCAACUCUCCAAUGCAGGUGAUGAGUGUGAUUUGCACUAUCACUUUGGACAGCCAAUUGGAAUAUUUAUUGAAGUCAUAGAUGCCCAGCAAUUCUGUUACUGGAUGUGUCUCAUAGACAAACUCUUGGACAUUCUUAUAGAACACUGAGCCCAAAGAAGACACAUCAUAUAAUGUAAGAAGCUAGGACAGCUUAAAAAAAAAAGGCCUAGAUCUGUGUAAUUGUGUGAGUGUUCUCGGACAUACUGUUUGUAAAAAAUCGAGUUAUUGAGUAGUUUGAUAAUAUGAUAAUCAUGAAAAUAAAGGAUAAAGCAGCGAGUAAAAAAAAAAAAAAA